UGGGGAAUAUUGCACAAUGGGCGAAAGCCUGAUGCAGCAACGCCGCGUGAGUGAUGAAGGUCUUCGGAUUGUAAAGCUCUGUCUUUUGGGACGAUAAUGACGGUACCAAAGGAGGAAGCCACGGCUAACUACGUGCCAGCAGCCGCGGUAAUACGUAGGUGGCGAGCGUUGUCCGGAUUUACUGGGCGUAAAGGGUGCGCAGGCGGAUGUUUAAGUGAGAUGUGAAAUACCCGGGCUUAACUUGGGUGCUGCAUUUCAAACUGGAUAUCUAGAGUGCAGGAGAGGAGAAUGGAAUUCCUAGUGUAGCGGUGAAAUGCGUAGAGAUUAGGAAGAACACCAGUGGCGAAGGCGAUUCUCUGGACUGUAACUGACGCUGAGGCACGAAAGCGUGGGUAGCAAACAGGAUUAGAUACCCUGGUAGUCCACGCCGUAAACGAUGAGUACUAGGUGUAGGAGGUAUCGACCCCUUCUGUGCCGCAGUAAACACAUUAAGUACUCCGCCUGGGAAGUACGAUCGCAAGAUUAAAACUCUAAAGUGAAUUGACGGGGUC
rnacentral:rRNA from 1 species